rnacentral:rRNA from 1 species
GACGAACGCUGGCGGCGUGCUUAACACAUGCCAGUCGAACGGAAAGGCCCUGCUUUUGUGGGGUGCUCGAGUGGCGAACGGGUGAGUAACACGUGAGUAACCUGCCCUUGACUUUGGGAUAACUUCAGGAAACUGGGGCUAAUACCGGAUAGGAGCUCCUGCUGCAUGGUGGGGGUUGGAAAGUUUCGGCGGUUGGGGAUGGACUCGCGGUUUAUCAGCUUGUUGGUGGGGUAGUGGCUUACCAAGGCUUUGACGGGUAGCCGGCCUGCGAGGGUGACCGGCCACAUUGGGACUGAGAUACGGCCCAGACUCCUACGGGAGGCAGCGGUGGGGAAUAUUGCACAAUGGGCGGAAGCCUGAUGCAGCAACGCCGCGUGCGGGAUGACGGCCGUCGGGUUGUAAACCGCUUUCGCCUGUGACGAAGCGUGAGUGACGGUAAUGGGUAAAGAAGCACCGGCUAACUACGUG